rnacentral:piRNA from 1 species
UACAGGGAUGUGAUGACUGUAGCUGAGA